rnacentral:rRNA from 1 species
UACGUAGGGCGCGAGCGUUGUCCGGAAUUAUUGGGCGUAAAGAGCUCGUAGGCGGCCUGUUGCGUCCGCUGUGAAAUCCCAGGGCUCAACCCUGGGCGUGCAGUGGAUACUGCCAUGCUUGAGUACUGGAGAGGAGAUUGGAAUUUACGGUGUAGCAGUGAAAUGCGUAGAUAUCGUAAGGAAGACCAGUGGCGAAGGCGAAUCUCUGGACAGUUACUGACACUGAGGCACGAAGGCCAGGGGAGCAAACGGG